rnacentral:rRNA from 1 species
GAUGAACGCUGGCGGCGUGCCUAAUACAUGCAAGUCGAGCGAACAGAUAAGGAGCUUGCUCCUUUGACGUUAGCGGCGGACGGGUGAGUAACACGUGGGUAACCUACCUAUAAGACUGGAAUAACUCCGGGAAACCGGGGCUAAUGCAGGAUAACAUGUUGAACCGCAUGGUUCUACAGUGAAAGGCGGCUUUGCUGUCACUUAUAGAUGGACCCGCGCCGUAUUAGCUAGUUGGUGAGGUAACGGCUCACCAAGGCAACGAUACGUAGCCGACCUGAGAGGGUGAUCGGCCACACUGGAACUGAGACACGGUCCAGACUCCUACGGGAGGCAGCAGUAGGGAAUCUUCCGCAAUGGGCGAAAGCCUGACGGAGCAACGCCGCGUGAGUGAUGAAGGUCUUCGGAUCGUAAAACUCUGCUAUUAGGGAAGAACAAAUGCGUAAGUAACUGUGCGCGUCUUGACGGUACCUAAUCAGAAAGCCACGGCUAACUACGUG